rnacentral:rRNA from 1 species
GCCCCGGCUAACUACGUGCCAGCAGCCGCGGUAAUACGUAGGGGGCAAGCGUUAUCCGGAUUUACUGGGUGUAAAGGGAGCGUAGACGGAGAGGCAAGUCUGAUGUGAAAGACCGGGGCUCAACCCCGGGGUUGCAUUGGAAACUGUUUGUCUAGAGUACCGGAGGGGUAAGCGGAAUUCCUAGUGUAGCGGUGAAAUGCGUAGAUAUUAGGAGGAACACCAGUGGCGAAGGCGGCUUACUGGACGGUAACUGACGUUGAGGCUCGAAAGCGUGGGGAGCAAACAGGAUUAGAUACCCUGGUAGUCCACGCGGUAAACGAUGAAUACUAGGUGUUGGGCAGCAAAGCUGUUCGGUGCCGCAGCAAACGCAAUAAGUAUUCCACCUGGGGAGUACGUUCGCA